rnacentral:rRNA from 1 species
GAUGAACGCUGGCGGCGUGCCUAAUACAUGCAAGUCGAGCGAAUGGAUUGAGAGCUUGCUCUUAUGAAGUUAGCGGCGGACGGGUGAGUAACACGUGGGUAACCUGCCCAUAAGACUGGGAUAACUCCGGGAAACCGGGGCUAAUACCGGAUAACAUUUUGAACCGCAUGGUUCGAAAUUGAAAGGCGGCUUCGGCUGUCACUUAUGGAUGGACCCGCGUCGCAUUAGCUAGGUGGUGAGGUAACGGCUCACCAAGGCAACGAUGCGUAGCCGACCUGGGAGGGUGAUCGGCCACACUGGGACUGAGACACGGCCCAGACGCCCACGGGAGGUAGCAGUAGGGAAUCUUCCGAAAUGGACGAAAGUCUGACGGAGCAACGCCGCGUGAGUGAUGAAGGCUUUCGGGUCGUAAAACUCUGUUGUUAGGGAAGAACAAGUGCUAGUUGAAUAAGCUGGCACCUUGACGGUACCUAACCAGAAAGCCACGGCUAACUACGUGCCAGCCGCCGCAGUAA